rnacentral:rRNA from 1 species
AUUGAACGCUGGCGGCAUGCCUAACACAUGCAAGUCGAGCGGAUGAAGGGAGCUUGCUCUUGGAUUCAGCGGCGGACGGGUGAGUAAUUCCUAGGAAUCUGCCUGGUCUUGGGGGCUAACGUCCGGACACGGGCGCUAAUACCGCAUACGUCCUGAGGGUGAACGUGGGGGAUCUUCGGACCUCACGCUAUUAGCUGAGCCUAGGUCGGAUUAGCUAGUUGGUGGGGUAAAGGCCUACCAAGGCGACGAUCCGUAACUGGUCUGAGAGGAUGAUCAGUCACACUGGAACUGAGACACGGUCCAGACUCCUACGGGAGGCAGCAGUAGGGAAUAUUGGGCAAUGGGCGAAAGCCUGAUCGAGCCAUGCCGCGUGUAUGAAGAAGGUCUUCGGAUUGUAAAGCACUGUAAGUAGGGAGGAAGAGCAGUAAGUUAAUACCUUGCUGUUUUGACGGUACCAACAGAAUAAGCACCGGCUAACUUCGUG